UCCAUUUUUGGAAACUGAACGUAAUGGAAACUGAACGUUGCUCUCUCUCUCCAGCGUCCGAACCGAGCCGAAAAACAGGGCCGACGCUCUCCGGCCAAGUUCUCCUCCAUCCGGCCACCAAUCUUCACCAAAUUUCGUCCAUCAGCUUCGCCUCACUCCUCUGAAGCCGUCUGUGGAAACCUUCCACGGCGGCGCGGCCUCUAGCGGCGGCGGCAAGCUUGUUUCGAUUUGAGUUCGAUUUUAGUCAACGCCGGUUUUCUCCUAGCUCUGGCCACCAAAACUUCCGAUCCUUAGCUCCAUGAACUCGCCUCAACCUGCUGAUAAUCAUCCUAGAAGGAUCGCACCUGGAGUGACCGGUUUCACGUUCGUCGGAGCUCGGCCGGUUUUCGAUCGAACACCAAAACCUUUCGAUCGUGAUAUCUCGAGUUUUAGUGCAUCGUUUUGAUUGAUUUUUGAACCAGUGGGUUCACCUGAUGUUCUUAACAACUCUCCAGAAGGAAUCGAGGCCUGAAAUUGAAGUUUGUACGUCGAAAUCGUGGCUCGCCGGUUUCUGCAAUUCUUCACCGGUUUCUGGAAAAUUUCCGGCCACAUUCAUACUGUUCUAGGUGAUUGACGGUCUUCCUUGGUGAGCGGUUUUGGUGUGUAUUGUGAAAGUGAAGACGCAGCGGGAUUAGAGGUUUGGUGUUGUUGCAAUCCCGGUACACUAUUCAAAUUGUGUAGCGGGUAAUCCUACAGGUCAGGAGAAUCGAGAAGGUGAUCAGGCUGCUUAGAGUAGUGGGAUUGGAGUUACAGCUUUAUUGUGAGGUUGUUAUGCUCAUUGAGCUUACAUUUAAAUUUGGUGAGAGUGUGUUGUAAUAUUAAAUUCUUGAGGAUUUGGUUUAUGUAUUAGUGAGUGAGGCUAGAUGUGUUUAUAUCUGAGAAAAAAAUUCAGAACGUUUAUUUGAUUAAGUUGUUUAUUUCAUGUUUCGGAUUUGAAUUUAUUAUU